AUGGUACUCCCUCCGUCCGAAAAUACUUGUCGAAAAAAUCGAUAAAAAUAGAUGUAUCUUAAACUAAAAUAUGUCUAGAUACAACCAUUUCUCCGACAAGUAUUUUCGGACGGAGGGAGUAGAAG
rfam:Triticum aestivum genome assembly, contig: Triticum_aestivum_CS42_TGACv1_scaffold_129613_2BL